rnacentral:tRNA from 1 species
CCCUGGCUGGCUCAGUCGGCAGAGCAUGCGACUCUUGAUCUUGGGGUUGUGGGUUUGAGCCCCACGGUGGGUA